rnacentral:rRNA from 1 species
GACGAACGCUGGCGGCGUGCCUAAUACAUGCAAGUAGAACGCACAGUUUAUACCGUAGCUUGCUACACCAUAAACUGUGAGUUGCGAACGGGUGAGUAACGCGUAGGUAACCUGCCUGGUAGCGGGGGAUAACUAUUGGAAACGAUAGCUAAUACCGCAUAAUAUUGAUUAUUGCAUGAUAAUUGAUUGAAAGAUGCUAUUGCAUCACUACCAGAUGGACCUGCGUUGUAUUAGCUAGUAGGUGAGGUAACGGCUCACCUAGGCGACGAUACAUAGCCGACCUGAGAGGGUGAUCGGCCACACUGGGACUGAGACACGGCCCAGACUCCUACGGGAGGCAGCAGUAGGGAAUCUUCGGCAAUGGACGAAAGUCUGACCGAGCAGCGCCGCGUGAGUGAAGAAGGUUUUCGGAUCGUAAAGCUCUGUUGUAAGAGAAGAACGGGUGUGAGAGUGGAAAGUUCACACUGUGACGGUAUCUUACCAGAAAGGGACGGCUAACUACGUG